rnacentral:rRNA from 1 species
UACGGGGGGGGCAAGCGUUGUUCGGAAUUACUGGGCGUAAAGGGCUCGUAGGUGGCCAACUAAGUCAGACGUGAAAUCCCUCGGCUUAACCGGGGAACUGCGUCUGAUACUGGAUGGCUUGAGAUUGGGAGAGGGAUGCGGAAUUCCAGGUGUAGCGGUGAAAUGCGUAGAGAUCCGGAAGAACACCAGUGGCGAAGGCGGCCCGCUGGGCAGUGGCUGACGCUGAAGCGCGACAGCGUGGGGAGCAAACAGG